UAGGGAAUCUUCCGCAAUGGGCGAAAGCCUGACGGAGCAACGCCGCGUGAGUGAUGAAGGUCUUCGGAUCGUAAAACUCUGUUAUUAGGGAAGAACAAAUGUGUAAGUAACUAUGCACGUCUUGACGGUACCUAAUCAGAAAGCCACGGCUAACUACGUGCCAGCAGCCGCGGUAAUACGUAGGUGGCAAGCGUUAUCCGGAAUUAUUGGGCGUAAAGCGCGCGUAGGCGGUUUUUUAAGUCUGAUGUGAAAGCCCACGGCUCAACCGUGGAGGGUCAUUGGAAACUGGAAAGCUUGAGUGCAGAAGAGGAAAGUGGAAUUCCAUGUGUAGCGGUGAAAUGCGCAGAGAUAUGGAGGAACACCAGUGGCGAAGGCGACUUUCUGGUCUGUAACUGACGCUGAUGUGCGAAAGCGUGGGGAUCAAACAGGAUUAGAUACCCUGGUAGUCCACGCCGUAAACGAUGAGUGCUAAGUGUUAGGGGGUUUCCGCCCCUUAGUGCUGCAGCUAACGCAUUAAGCACUCCGCCUGGGGAGUACGACCGCAAGGUUGAAACUCAAAUGAAUUGAC
rnacentral:rRNA from 1 species